rnacentral:tRNA from 1 species
GUCCUCGUAGCAUAACAGGAAAAUGCAAUUGCCUCCUAAGCAAUAGACUGGGUGUUCGAGUCACCCCGAGGACGCCA